rnacentral:sRNA from 1 species
UAUAAGUGCAGGUAGAGAUACGCUGUAUACUCAUGAAAUCGAAUUAACGUUUAAGCGAUAUGUAAUAUCGUCGAUCAUGAGGCCAUCUAUAUGGUGGUUUUUUUUUU